rnacentral:rRNA from 1 species
UAGGUUGAGGGCCUAUAUCCUUAGACUACUAGGUGAGUGUUCAAAGCGAAGGCAGUUAUCCCUGUAAGAUUGACGCUGAGGAAYUAAGGUUUGGAAAGGAAACAGGAWGUGCGACUUGAAAAGCUUAAAUAUGGUUUUAUACCCUUUGGGUAUUUUAUCUUUCGUUUGAUAAUAGUCUACCUAAAUAAGCUUUAAUAGUAAUAUUUUUGUUUAAAGCUUUAGGUGAAAGUUAAUUUUUGGUUAUCUACCUUAACUUUUUUUUUUAACUUUUUAUGUUAGCAGUAAUUUAAUUUAAAAGUAUGAAGUUAAUUAACAAAGACUGAUUUUUAUGGUUAAUUAAAUUGAACUUAUGUUAUAAAACGUAUUAAAUAGACAACUUAAUGUCCUGGUGAGUUGUAAACGAACUUUUUGUUUAAUAUUGUAAAGUAAGAACCUAAAAAAAUAUCUUAUACAUAUUUAAGAACAAGGAAAUACCUAUAAYYUGCAAUUAUAAWWUWUUCAYAAUGGCUAGUAAGUUCGUGAGAACUUUGAUAUAGUUAGAGGUAGAAUGAUGAGAAAAAAGCAAAUGCUAAUUUUUAAUAAAUUAGAUAGGUUCACUUUGUAUUACUCUUUAUUUACACAAAGUUUUAACUAAUCUGAAAGGAUGCUUACUUUCUAUUGGUGUGAUUUUUAUUAACCGUAUGGAAUAAGAAUUGUAUUCCUUAAUUCUAAAAUUUAAAAUGGCAAAUUUAUUACCAAAUACGAGGAAUAAUAAGUUAAGUUAAAAAAAAAAAGAUAUGGCGUAAAUUCCGAUUCUAAGUAAAAUAAGUGUUGUGGUUAUAAUUAUAGAAGGUCUAAUUUGCUUAGCUAGUAACGGAUACUAAAAUUUAACUACAAAAAUCAUGCUUGAGCCGUAUGCGAUGAAAGUCGCUUGUACGGUUCUGAGGAGGGGAAAACUUGUGAGAGUCUACCUAUUCCAAAUAGAGACCCAGGUACUCCUUACAUUCAACGAUGAAUGCUAGAUGUUAGUUUUUUAAUUAGCGUCGAUGUGAAAAUGACGUUAAGCAUUCCGCCUUGACAGUAUACUUGCAAAAGUG